GGCGAACGCUGGCGGCGUGCUUAACACAUGCAAGUCGAACGAAGAGCGAUGGAAGCUUGCUUCUAUCAAUCUUAGUGGCGAACGGGUGAGUAACGCGUAAUCAACCUGCCCUUCAGAGGGGGACAACAGUUGGAAACGACUGCUAAUACCGCAUACGAUCUAACCUCGGCAUCGAGGAUGGAUGAAAGGUGGCCUCUAUUUAUAAGCUAUCACUGAAGGAGGGGAUUGCGUCUGAUUAGCUAGUUGGAGGGGUAACGGCCCACCAAGGCGAUGAUCAGUAGCCGGUCUGGGAGGAUGAACGGCCACAUUGGGACUGAGACACGGCCCAGACUCCUACGGGAGGCAGCAGUGGGGAAUCUUCCGCAAUGGACGAAAGUCUGACGGAGCAACGCCGCGUGAGUGAUGACGGCCUUCGGGUUGUAAAGCUCUGUUAAUCGGGACGAAAGGCCUUCUUGCGAAUAGUUAGAAGGAUUGACGGUACCGGAAUAGAAAGCCACGGCUAACUACGUG
rnacentral:rRNA from 1 species